rfam:Dipodomys ordii contig_25536, whole genome shotgun sequence.
GGGAAGCUGGCUCAGUGGAAGAGUGCUUGCCUUGCAUGCAUGAGGUCCUGGGUUCAAUUCCUCAGUAUCACA